GGAAAAACAUUCAGCAUUGGUUUAUCGGGUGCAUUUACGGAUCUGCGCGGCUCAGCCUUUAAACGAUCUUUUUUGUCGAAGUAUUUUCAUCAUGAAUUUUGUGAUUGUCCGCCUUAGCCAUUUGCCCGAAUAUUUGAAUUAUAAAACCGUUCUAUGACAUCACCCUGGCUCCGCCCAAGAAGAAGCGUGGUUCCUACAAUACGAGAAGGAAAAGUAAGAACGAAUUUGCCAGCAUCUUCAAAUACAAUUUCAUGCUGACGGAAGAGGAGAUUGCCGAGGACCUGGAAAUAAUCAGAAAGGCCCUGGAAGCCGUCAUUCGCAUGGAACACAAUAAUGAUAAGCGAAAUAAAAAAUAAAAAAUGUUAAUGAUAUACACCUGUGAUAUUUGUGUUAUAGGCUUCAUAUUGUUCAGAUUAAAGCUCAAAUAAUCUUGUUAAAGAAAGUAAUGUUUAAAUCAAUAAAUUAAUUAAAUUAAA